rnacentral:rRNA from 1 species
AGAGAGAUAAUUGUUGGAAACGACUUGUAAUGCUCUAUAUGCCUUUAUUACUAAAGUAAGCAAGGGAAACAUUUAUGGCUUUGGGAUGAGACUGUACGGUAUCAGCUAGUUGGUGAGGUAAUGGCUCACCAAGGCAAUGACAUCUAACUGGUUUGAGAGGAUGAUCAGUCACACUGGAACUGAGACACGGUCCAGACUCCUACGGGAGGCAGCAGUGGGGAAUAUUGCACAAUGGAGGAAACUCUGAUGCAGCAACGCCGCGUGGAGGAUGACACAUUUCGGUGCGUAAACUCCUUUUAUAUGAGAAGAUAAUGACGGUAUCAUAUGAAUAAGCACCGGCUAACUCCGUGCCAGCAGCCGCGGUAAUACGGGGGGUGCAAGCGUUACUCGGAAUCACUGGGCGUAAAGAGCAUGUAGGCUGGUUUGUAAGUUGGAAGUGAAAUCCUAUGGCUUAACCAUAGAACUGCUUCCAAAACUGCAGACCUAGAAUAUGGGAGAGGUAGAUGGAAUUUCUGGUGUAGGGGUAAAAUCCGUAGAGAUCAGAAGGAAUACCGAUUGCGAAGGCGAUCUACUGGAACAUUAUUGACGCUGAGAUGCGAAAGCGUGGGGAGCAAACAGGAUUAGAUACCCUGGUAGUCCACGCCCUAAACGAUGCACACUAGUUGUUGCCUUGCUAGACAAGGCAGUAAUGCAGUUAACACAGUAAGUG